rnacentral:rRNA from 1 species
GUCUACGGCCAUGCCACCCCGAACAGGUCCGAUGUCUGAUCUUGGAAUCUAAGCAGAGUCGGGCCUGGUUAAUACUUGGAUGGGAGACCACCUAGGAAGACCAGUUGCUGUAGGCA